rnacentral:rRNA from 1 species
GAUGAACGCUGGCGGCGUGCCUAAUACAUGCAAGUCGAGCGAACAGACGAGGAGCUUGCUCCUCUGACGUUAGCGGCGGACGGGUGAGUAACACGUGGAUAACCUACCUAUAAGACUGGGAUAACUUCGGGAAACCGGAGCUAAUACCGGAUAAUAUAUUGAACCGCAUGGUUCAAUAGUGAAAGACGGUUUUGCUGUCACUUAUAGAUGGAUCCGCGCCGCAUUAGCUAGUUGGUAAGGUAACGGCUUACCAAGGCAACGAUGCGUAGCCGACCUGAGAGGGGGAACGGCCACACUGGGAAUUGGACCAGGGCCCAAACCCUACGGGGAGCAGGAGGAGGGGAUCUUCCGCAAUGGGCGAAAACCCGACGGGGCAACGCCGCGUGAGGGAUGAAGGGUUUCGGAUCGUAAAACUCUGUUAUUAGGGAAAAACAAAUGUGUAAGUAACUAUGCACGUCUUGACGGGACCUAAUCAGAAAGCCACGGCUAACUACGUG